GACGAACGCUGGCGGCGUGCUUAACACAUGCAAGUCGAACGGAAAGGCCCUGCUUUUGUGGGGUGCUCGAGUGGCGAACGGGUGAGUAACCCGUGAGUAACCUGCCCUUGACUUUGGGAUAACUUCAGGAAACUGGGGCUAAUACCGGAUAGGAGCUCCUGCUGCAUGGUGGGGGUUGGAAAGUUUCGGCGGUUGGGGAUGGACUCGCGGCUUAUCAGCUUGUUGGUGGGGUAGUGGCUUACCAAGGCUUUGACGGGUAGCCGGCCUGAGAGGGUGACCGGCCACAUUGGGACUGGGAUACGGCCCAGACUCCUACGGGAGGCAGCAGUGGGGAAUAUUGCACAAUGGGCGGAAGCCUGAUGCAGCAACGCCGCGUGCGGGAUGACGGCCUUCGGGUUGUAAACCGCUUUCGCCUGUGACGAAGCGUGAGUGACGGUAAUGGGUAAAGAAGCACCGGCUAACUACGU
rnacentral:rRNA from 1 species